rnacentral:rRNA from 1 species
AGCGAACGCUGGCGGCAGGCCUAACACAUGCAAGUCGAACGAAGCCUUCGGGCUUAGUGGCGGACGGGUGAGUAACACGUGGGAACGUACCUUUUGGUUCGGAAUAACGCAGAGAAAUUUGCGCUAAUACCGAACGAGCCCUUCGGGGGAAAGAUUUGUCGCCGAAAGAUCGGCCCGCGUUGGAUUAGGGAGUUGGUGUGGUAAAGGCGCACCAAGCCUACGAUCCAUAGCUGGUCUGAGAGGAUGAUCAGCCAAACUGGGACUGAGACACGGCCCAGACUCCUACGGGAGGCAGCAGUGGGGAAUCUUGCGCAAUGGGCGAAAGCCUGACGCAGCCAUGCCGCGUGAAUGAUGAAGGUCUUAGGAUUGUAAAAUUCUUCUACCAGGGACGAUAAUGACGGUACCUGGAGAAAAAGCCCCGGCUAACUUCGUGCCAGCCGCCGCAGUAAAAC